rnacentral:rRNA from 11 species
AACUCUUAACAAUGGAUAUCUUGGUUCUCGCAACGAUGAAGAACGCAGCGAAAUGCGAUACCUAGUGUGAAUUGCAGGGCUCAGUGAAUCAUCAAAAUUUUGAACGCAUAUUGCGCUCAUGGGGGACCAUGAGCACGCCUGUUUGAG